rnacentral:misc_RNA from 1 species
CACCGAAUGGCCGGCAGGCGAUUCACAUCAGUCGCACGAGGUGGUAUGGUUCCCCAGAGGCCGGUUCUUGUGUUGCCUACCCUUCAGAGGGAAUCAAGCCUCCUGACGGUUGAAAGCCUCCAUCCGGCGCCUUCUAAUGGGCACAAGAAGACAGCGUAGCACCCCCCGUAUUCCACCACUGAGGAAUGCUACCUGGUUGAUCCUCCC